GUUUCUCUGGGAUGGAAGUUUACAUUUAUCAAAAUACGACUCACUUCAUGAGGAAGGAAGGUGCAGCAGAGAAAACACGUGAUGAACUCUUCCACAGCCUCUGUUCUCUGUCCCUCUGUGCUGCUCAUGAGGAAGGAGGUAGAGAAAAUCGGGAGUAAAGUUAAGACUAGGAAUAAGGCAGAGGUGAGGAUCUGUGCAAUUUUUUGUAACCUCGACCAUUAUUAGAGCUUUAUGAAAUUAGGAAGAACAAAGGAAACCAUAAUGCUUUACACAGCAUAAGCCAUGACACUACAGAUCAACCUUUUUGGUAUUUGAACCCAAGUACAUAACAACUGAAAAUUUAUGAAGACUGAAGACCGGUUGAAAACUGAUAUGAAGGCUGAAGCCUACAGUAUCUAUCUGUUUCUUCACAUGAUUUGAGUAUGUUCCAAGACUUUGGAUUUUCCAGCUUCAGCAUCUUUUGUGUUGGAGUCCAUAAAAUAGGCUGAAGAACUGUAUUUGUUCUCAGCAGUUUCGUUGAACUGGAAUACAUGUGAAAGUUUCUUAUCUCCUAAAACAAAGGUAAUGUAGAAGGUGUAUGUUAUUUUUCUGUAUGUAAGAAACAUAACUAUACCUAUAUUUUGAUAAUAAAAUAAGGUGGGCAAGUGGAGGGACACAUUCUCAAUGACUAUUCAAAGUAUGGCAUUCAUACUGAUAUGGAUAGAAACCUUAAGUACCAGUGAAA